GGGGGAUAUUGGACAAUGGACCAAAAGUCUGAUCCAGCAAUUCUGUGUGCACGAUGACGUUUUUCGGAAUGUAAAGUGCUUUCAGUUGGGAAGAAAAAAAUGACGGUACCAACAGAAGAAGUGACGGCUAAAUACGUGCCAGCAGCCGCGGUAAUACGUAUGUCACAAGCGUUAUCCGGAUUUAUUGGGCGUAAAGCGCGUCUAGGUGGUUAUGUAAGUCUGAUGUGAAAAUGCAGGGCUCAACUCUGUAUUGCGUUGGAAACUGUAUGACUAGAGUACUGGAGAGGUAAGCGGAACUACAAGUGUAGAGGUGAAAUUCGUAGAUAUUUGUAGGAAUGCCGAUGGGGAAGCCAGCUUACUGGACAGAUACUGACGCUAAAGCGCGAAAGCGUGGGUAGCAAACAGGAUUAGAUACCCUGGUAGUCCACGCCGUAAACGAUGAUUACUAGGUGUUGGGGGUCGAACCUCAGCGCCCAAGCUAACGCGAUAAGUAAUCCGCCUGGGGAGUACGUACGCAAGUAUG
rnacentral:rRNA from 1 species